CCUACGGGAGGCAGCAGUAAGGAAUAUUGGUCAAUGGAGGCAACUCUGAACCAGCCAUGCCGCGUGCAGGAUGAAGGCCCUAUGGGUCGUAAACUGCUUUUACACAAGAGAAAACCCCGGUACGUGUACCGGGUUGAUAGUAUUGUGAGAAUAAGCAUCGGCUAACUUCGUGCCAGCAGCCGCGGUAAGACGAAGGAUGCAAGCGUUAUCCGGAUUCAUUGGGUUUAAAGGGUGCGUAGGCGGACUUGUAAGUCAGUGGUGAAAUCUCUUUGCUUAACAAAGAAACUGCCAUUGAUACUGCAGGUCUAGAGUAUAGAUGACGUUGGCGGAAUAUGACAUGUAGUGGUGAAAUACUUAGAUAUGUCAUAGAACACCGAUUGCGAAGGCAGCUAACGAAACUAUAACUGACGCUGAGGCACGAAAGUGCGGGGAUCAAACAGGAUUAGAUACCCUGUAGUCCGCACCGUAAACGAUGAUUACUCGUUGUCGGCAAUAUGACCGUCAGCGACCAAGCGAAAGCGAUAAAGUAAUCCAACCUGGGGAGUUACGCCGGNAACGGUUGAAACUUCAAAGGAAUUGACGGCGNGAGAGNGCGAGACGACGACGAGGAGGAGG
rnacentral:rRNA from 1 species